AUUGAACGCUGGCGGAAUGCUUUACACAUGCAAGUCGAACGGCAGCACGGGGGCAACCCUGGUGGCGAGUGGCGAACGGGUGAGUAAUACAUCGGAACGUGCCAUUGAGUGGGGGAUAACGUAGCGAAAGUUACGCUAAUACCGCAUAUUCUGUGAGCAGGAAAGCAGGGGACCGCAAGGCCUUGCGCUCUUUGAGCGGCCGAUGUCAGAUUAGCUAGUUGGUGAGGUAAAGGCUUACCAAGGCGACGAUCUGUAGCGGGUCUGAGAGGAUGAUCCGCCACACUGGAACUGAGACACGGUCCAGACUCCUACGGGAGGCAGCAGUGGGGAAUUUUGGACAAUGGGGGCAACCCUGAUCCAGCCAUGCCGCGUGAGUGAAGAAGGCCUUCGGUUGGUAAAGACGUCUUUCGGUCCGGGAGGAAAGUACGCGAUAGGUUAAGUAACCCU
rnacentral:rRNA from 1 species